AAAUUAAUAUGCCUAGAAAAAAGGAAACCUAAUCUACCCUUAGUCAAUCUUCCAACAGCUGGAAACCAUUAAUCCUUCUCGUCGUUUCAUUUCAUUUGUCCCAUCUGUUCCAUCCGUCUGUCGAUAGCACUGCCCAAGAAUAUCUUUCUUUGCUAUCUGCUUAAGAACCACAUCCUCUCUCUGUCUUCUUAGUCCGGAUUCCUUGCCCAUUUCUCUGUUGCACCAACAUUGUGACGAACCGUCUCUUCAUUCUCCAGGUAUGCCCUCUCGCUUCUCUUCAAUGCCUCCUUCGCGAUAUAAUGGGUUCUCGUAUUCUUCAUUUUCUGGAUAUGCUUGAACUCGAUCUUCUGGAAACAUGAUUUCUUACUCUGGAUGUCUCUGAUAAUCGCUCCAAUAAUUGAGUAAUCGUUUGCUGUUGACUAACAUUUCUUGAUUACUGUUAGUGAAUCACCCAAUAUUUGUAUUUCCUGAAAACCCAUUUCAAUUAACUUAACUGCUUCUAACCCUGCAUAUGCUUCUACUGCGAACGGAGAUGCAAUAUUAUUAUGAAGAAUCGAUUUCAAGGCCAAAUACUCAUUCAUCAUACCCCAGACCACCAGCCCUGACGCCAAUUUGAAAUAUCUGUUAUCGAACGCAGCAUCAAACUAGAUCUUCAUAAUCGGUAAGUCCUCCACAGGUCUUUGAUUCUGCACCAUGUUUGAUAAAAUCUUCUGUGCUCUAAUCCCUUCGUAUUCUACCAUGUGGUUCUGAAUUUUUUGUGCGAGGUCUUUGCCUGUGGAAUGUACCCUUUUAUGCAAAAGCUGAUUCCUUGAGUACCAAAGUAACUGUAAGGCAUAACAAAAAUAUCCGCAUUGUUCGUUUGUUCCUUGUUUGAAAACCACGGACAUUGCCUGAAGAUGUGAUGACAAUCUUCUUCCCCGUAACCACAACGAGGGCAACUGGUAUUUGUCACUAUUCUUCUAUAUCUAAGAUUACCCAAAGUAGGAAUGUGAUUCCAAGAGAUGCACCAGAUUAUGAUUGUAAUCUUAGAUGGUAGCUGCAGGUUCCAUAACUUUCCAAAAAAUUUCUUAAUUUCGAUCUGUAAUAAAUAAUUACUAGAAUCAAGAUUAGCAUUUUGUAAUAAUUUAUAGGCACUACGAACUAAGUAUUCACCAAUCAGUUCGCCCCUCCGGACUUGAAAGUCUUCGUGAUCUGAUUUGGAUAAUGGGAUCUGUGAAAUUAUGCGAGCAACUUCUAGAUGAAAGAUAUUACUAAUCAGCUCCAGAUGAAAGGCCUCUUAAAUUGUAAAGUUAUUGGUUAAUAAAAUGUUGGCAAAAAAAUUUUAGGCGUCGAAAACAAUUACAAAUAAA